AUUGCUUCUUGGCCUUUUGGCUAAGAUCAAGUGUAGAAAUAAAAAAUUACACAUUUGUUGGAUUUGUUCCUUCAGAGUUCUUCCUUUUAAAAUCUCUGGUGGGAUAGAUACUGAGAAAGCAUUUUGUAUCUUCCCUGG
ensembl:snRNA U2 U2 spliceosomal RNA